CCCUUAGAUGUCCUGGGCCGCACGCGCGCUACACUGACAUGUUCAACAAGCCUCCUAGUUCGACAGGAUUUGGGAAAUCUUUGAACGCAUGUCGUGAUAGGGAUAGAUCAUUGCAAUUAUUGAUCUUGAACGAGGAAUUCCUAGUAAACGCGAGUCAUCAGCUCGCAUUGAUUACGUCCCUGCCCUUUGUACACACCGCUCGUCGCACCUACCGAUUGAAUGUUUCGGUGAAGAUUCCGGAUAGGACUUUUUUGAUUUAUUUCAAUUCUGUCUUAAAAGCUAUCUAAACCUCAACAUUUAGAGGAAGGUGAAGUCGUAACA
rnacentral:rRNA from 1 species